rnacentral:misc_RNA from 1 species
UUUUUACACGCGAUAAAAAUUUUAUUUCCGCCCCCAGCUGCCAUUGUUCGGUCGUAUUCUUUACCUGCCAACGGCAUGACCGCCUCUCCAGCCAAAUCAUGCCGUUUGGCCGCCCAUUCGGCUGUUCAAAAUGCAUAAAAUGUACUUUUCAGGGCUGUCCUAAGUAAGGCAUUUAGUCUGUGACACUUCUGAAGGAGUGCAGUCUUGCAAUUUCCAAACAUGCUUCCUCUCUUGCCAUUUUCCUUGAUUGCCGCCAUAUGGGUAGUACCGGUAAAAUACUAAGAAUAAGUCAAAUAAAUUUAUUUGAAUUUGAAAUUUUCACACCGCACAACGUUUCACGCCAAAUCGGGAAAUCCAGGAACUGAACAAUUACUAAUUUCUGCACGUCCCUACUUCCAACAUUUCAACACUCUGCUUCCGAAGUUUGACGGCAUGUAAUCUACUUUCAAAAGCUUUAUUUCGUUUGAUUUGAUAAAGGACAUCAAUAUUAAGGUAACCAAUAAUAGGAUAAGAUUAAGGUAAGAUUAAGGUAAUAUCAAUAUCAAACUAAUAUCCAUCGACUACACCACUACUACCAACAUUCAUUAAAACACUUUA